CUCGUAUCCUAAACCGCAAUGCCAAGAUUUAAUCACCAAGUUACAACAACCUCCAUGCAAUGGAGAAGAUAUGGUUCCCGGUUGGCGGACAUUGGAAAUUGAUUUUGGCGAGCUGAGUUUGCGGGCUGAUUGGAUAAAUUGCUCUACCUGGAUUCCGAAAAAGAAGCCAAGCAACUUGCAGUUACUCAGUGCGUUUCAAUCUGGCAAUCAUUGAUGAGCUCUCUCAUCAGCAAUCCAUCUACCCACGAUGAGAAGAUGGAUUACUAAAGCCAGAGAACA